rnacentral:rRNA from 1 species
UACACUCCUACGGGAGGCAGCAGUGGGAAUUUUGGACAAUGGGCGAAAGCCUGAUCCAGCAAUGCCGCGUGUGUGAAGAAGGCCUUCGGGUUGUAAAGCACUUUUGUCCGGAAAGAAAUCCUUGGCUCUAAUACAGUCGGGGGAUGACGGUACCGGAAGAAUAAGCACCGGCUAACUACGUGCCAGCAGCCGCGGUAAUACGUAGGGUGCGAGCGUUAAUCGGAAUUACUGGGCGUAAAGCGUGCGCAGGCGGUUUGCUAAGACCGAUGUGAAAUCCCCGGGCUCAACCUGGGAACUGCAUUGGUGACUGGCAGGCUAGAGUAUGGCAGAGGGGGGUAGAAUUCCACGUGUAGCAGUGAAAUGCGUAGAGAUGUGGAGGAAUACCGAUGGCGAAGGCAGCCCCCUGGGCCAAUACUGACGCUCAUACACGAAAGCGUGGGGAGCAAACAGGAUUAGAUACCCUUGUAGUCCCAUGAU